rnacentral:ncRNA from 1 species
UGCUGUACAACUGGCGGAAAACAUUUUAUAUGUUGUGGGAUUACCCACAGGGAGUACAGUUUUUAUAAAAGCCGACCGCCUGGGCGACCA